rnacentral:misc_RNA from 1 species
UGCCCACAGUGUAGAAUCCAG